UUGAAAAACAGAGACAAUAAAGGC
rnacentral:sRNA from 1 species